rnacentral:rRNA from 1 species
GAUUAUGGCUCAGGAUGAACGCUAGCUACAGGCUUAACACAUGCAAGUCGAGGGGCAGCAUGAUCGAAGCUUGCUUUGAUUGAUGGCGACCGGCGCACGGGUGAGUAACGCGUAUCCAACCUUCCCUAUAGUAGAGGAUAGCCCGGCGAAAGUCGGAUUAAUACUCUAUGUUUUUCCGAAGCAGACAUCUAAUUUGGAACAAAGGUUCACCGCUAUAGGAUGGGGAUGCGUCUGAUUAGGUAGUCGGCGGGGUAACGGCCCACCGAGCCAACGAUCAGUAGGGGUUCUGAGAGGAAGGUCCCCCACAUUGGAACUGAGACACGGUCCAAACUCCCACGGGAGGCAGCAGUGAGGAAUAUUGGUCAAUGGGCGAGAGCCUGAACCAGCCCAAGUAGCGUGCAGGAUGACGGCCCUAUGGGUUGUAAACUGCUUUUAUACGGGGAUAAAGUGAGGGACGUGUCCCUUUUUGUAGGUACCGUAUGAAUAAGGACCGGCUAAUUCCGUGCCAGCCGCCGC